rnacentral:rRNA from 1 species
AUGAAGGCCGGCCGUGAAGACGCGGCGGUGGAGAAGGACGCAGCGGUAGAUGCAGUGGAGAAGCCUGUUGUGGUCAUUGCCUCCGCGGUUGGCACGGCCGAGGGCGCCGUCGCGGCGACGGGAGGCGGUGCACCAUCUGCUGUGACUGCACCGGCCGCCGUCGCAGCGGCCGAGCCUGCGGUCGGGGAGCAGGUGGAGGAGGAGGUGGCGGUUGAUCUAGAGGAGCAGAGGCUCAAGCGGAAGCGGGAGCAGUACGAGCUCAUCGACAGGAGCUACGAGGAGGCCCACCUCGACGCUCAGGAAGUGCAGGACGAGGCCGUCGAGUUCGACGAGGAGGUCGACGACGAGCUCUCGGAGGAAGAUGACGAAGACGUGGAUGAUAGUAAGGAGAGCAGGGACAGCAAGAGCCGCUACGUCCUCAGGAGGCUGCGGAAUGGGGAAAUCCCAUACUGCAGCGGAUACAACAGGCUCUAUGGCAACAUAGCCUGCCCCUUCUGCUGCGCGAUUAUCAAGAGCGACUAUGACAACCUGAUCAUGCAUGGCACCUAUAUCGGCCGUGGUAAUGGGAGGAACCGCAAGCCCUACGUCCGGGCUAAACAUGCCGCUUUUGGUGCCUUCCUCAGGAAGUACGCGAAGGGGCAUCUGCCAUUCUACCUCCCGAGGCCUCCUCGUCCGGCCAAGACGCCGAGGAUCUGA